GACGAACGCUGGCGGCGUGCUUAACACAUGCAAGUCGAACGGAAAGGCCCUUCGGGGUACUCGAGUGGCGAACGGGUGAGUAACACGUGGGUGAUCUGCCCUGCACUUUGGGAUAAGCCUGGGAAACUGGGUCUAAUACCGAAUAUGAUCAUCAGCUUCAUGGUUGGUGGUGGAAAGCUUUUGCGGUGUGGGAUGGGCCCGCGGCCUAUCAGCUUGUUGGUGGGGUAAUGGCCUACCAAGGCGACGACGGGUAGCCGGCCUGAGAGGGUGACCGGCCACACUGGGACUGAGAUACGGCCCAGACUCCUACGGGAGGCAGCAGUGGGGAAUAUUGCACAAUGGGCGCAAGCCUGAUGCAGCGACGCCGCGUGAGGGAUGACGGCCUUCGGGUUGUAAACCUCUUUCAGCACAGACGAAGCGCAAGUGACGGUAUGUGCAGAAGAAGGACCGGCCAACUACGUGCCAGCCGCCGCGGAAA
rnacentral:rRNA from 1 species